UAAGAAAACAACACAAUUACUGGGGACAGAGUUAAGUCCUCUUUAGAGACCCAGCAAGCAGAGACCCCUGAAACUUUUAAGGUUUCAAGCUCAGUGGACCCAAGUCUGUCACUUGAUCCCAGACUUGGUGUCCCCACCAGCAACAAGUGUAAACCUCUCCAGCAUCUCCCAGGAGGUGGCUAACCACGUUGGGGGUUCUGAAGUGCUUCAAGAGAAGCCUCUAGAGAAGGAAAAGGUAUUGCUAUUUCUUAAACACUAACCACAUCAUAAGUCUUUCCUAGAGUCACAUGGACUGCUCGACUACAGAACUAACAACCCCCCUUCGGCACUCCAAAAUGCCUGAGGACAAGCCCUGAGAAACAAGAGCGGAUGGAAAGACUUAUCAUAUGGCUGUAGGCAGUAAUCCUUCUUAUUUUCCACAGAAGUAUGUAAAGUAUUAUUUGAAUUCCCUGAGACUAACAGCCUACUCUUGGAGGUGAAACUGCCAAGGAUUUGUAAUUGUUCACAUUGUAGAGGAAAUAAUAGAAUACCUCAAAAGUAAGGAAAUUCUUGAUCCAAAAAUAUUUUUUCUAUGGUAUUUAGAAAAACAAACCCCAAACAGCUCAUUAUGGCUUCUCUGUCCUAUUUUAGUCCUAUUUUCAAAUGCAGCAUCGCUAUUCUAGUAAUUUAUUACACCCCAUCUUAGCUACAGUCAGCUCUAAAUUGUGGUUAAUUUUAGGAGAAUUCUUGUCUUCUCUACAGAAAAGGUAUUUGAUAUGUGUCCACUGAAUCACAGCAUCCGUUUCAUUAGGGAUUACUUUAAGGGACCAUGAACAUUGCUGCCAUGUACAUGACAGGGCACGCUUCCACCUUCUGUUAAACAUCUGCAACCCCCUGAAAUCCAGCGGAUUUCUCUCUGCACAUUACUAGGUUUCAGAAGCAAAGUUGCAAAACGGUUUCAGCUGAGGUUAAGGAGCAUGGUUUAGCAAAGUCAGACUCCUGCAUGUGAGUUCCCAGGACUCUGCUCAGACAAGGCUAAAGUCACGGGUCAAUUAAAUGCGUGCAUUGUCUGGAUCAAGUCCAGCACGGUGCUGGUUCCUUGCUACAUGGAAUAGAAAGAGACCGUGGUGCAAGCAAGCAAGUUCACCACCAAAACCCACCGCCCGCACCGCAGAGAUACAGAAAUGUGCAUCACUCACCAGGUCAGCUUCGCACUCCCUCUUGCAAGUGCUCUGCGCGUCUACCCACAGGUUGGGGUUCAUGUCAUUUGGGCAUAUCCCCGCGUGUGAAUACCGUAUGGGAGGUAAAGCUCUCCCUUGCAGAGAGACCUCCAGAAGCAACAGGACGCUGCUCUUCCCCAGCAAGAUCCACAUCCACCGAGUGAACGGCGCCAACAACAUCUCAGAACUUCUCCAGGGCAGUGGCAGUGACCAAGCUGGAGGUAGUUCUUGUUUGCCUGGGGUUGCUUGUUUUGGUGAGCCUUAAAUUUUUGAGGAACCCAAAUGCACCUGACUUCUAUAAAAGCUUCAGCAAGCUCCUUUGCUGCCUCUCCUGAUAGUGCAGCUUGGUCUGGACCUCAUUGGAUUAAAGGUCCUAGGAAGUUACCCCCUUAUUUUAAGAGAAAUGCUAAUAGUCUGAGCAGAGUUAGCUCUAUUUAUACCCUGCCUCUGUUAACAAGUCAGAAAAAGUAAACUUGAUUUCUUUGACAGGCACACGCUUCCUAUGUCCUGGUGGCAGUCAGACAGAUUUGUUGCAAGAAAAAAAAGCUGGAAAGAGUUUAAAAGGCUGGAACUGGCACGGUGGGACCCCUGCAUGUUUCUGAAUGCAGGGAGGCCUUCUUAACCCCUUUAGACCUAAAGUACUUCCCUAUGCUAAGAAUGGCAUUUACUUCUGAAAGGGUACUUGUCUAAGUAACAGGGACCCACGAUCAGGGGAUUUCCCCACGGCAAGGGGCUACACAAUCACUUGCUAAAGGGAACAAGUAAUAGGAUUGAAGCAAUUAAAGCUAGAAUAUCAUAUUUUAACAAAGGAAGCAGGGAAGAAAUAACUUAUUUAAACUUAGAAUCUGCAAAGCAGAAUGUCUUCAUAACCCCCCCCGGCGCUCCUCCGGGCUUUUUUUUCUCUGUGGUGUGGAGAUUUCCAGGAUGCUGCUUUUACUGCUGCCCUCCAACCCCACCAGCAAGAUGUUAAAAGUGUCCCUGAAUUCCUCCACAUUUCCUGACAGCGAGAUCCCGUCAUACAGUGCAUUGCUGACCCCUUUAACGGCGACAACAAAAAAAAUAGUAGAAGUUCAACUCUAUGGAAACCUGCAUAAAGGAAUGUACAGCAUUUUUGCAUUGGGGGGUGGAGGGGGGGGGGGGGGGUUGGAAAUUCAGUCAAGCUGAGUUUGUCGUUCCCUGAUUAUUACAGCAAGGGGCCGAUCCUGUUUGUGCUGAACACUUGCCAAAAUGCAGAGGCACACGGCAGAAGCUCAAGCUGCUCAGCACCUGGCAGGAUUAGAGCCUCUGGGCUGAAUUCUGGGCUGGCUUGGCCGGAUCCUGCUGGGUGCCCAGGGCCUCCUGGGAGGACCAGACUGAGGAUGGGUUGCCCAGAGGCACUUUUCAGCCAUGGGGGAGCAGAGCAGGGCUUUGAAGAAGCAGUCGCAGGCUCAUGGCAUGUGAAGGGAGCAGUCCUCUGCUUUGCUACGGCCGCCUCCAUCCUGAUGGAUCUUCUCCAAGGACAGAUCAGUGGUAUCAUUCAAGGAAAGGCCACCUGAAUGUCUAGAUUUGAGAUAUUGUCACCCCAAUGUUGGGUCAGCAUUUGGCACAGUUGAGAGCAGCAGGGACAUUCCAUAGGAGCCUGGAUGACUAAGAAAAAAGGUAAAGAAAUUAUCCUUAAUGAUAAUGAUGGUUUUGUUGGGUCACUGUAAUAUUAUAUACGAGGCACAGGAAAUUCAUGUUAACUAAGAAAUCAGGCUUUCAGUAAACCUUUUUCAUAGGAAGCUUCUUAGGGAGUCAAAUCCUGCCUUAAUCCAAUGGAAAUGGGACAGGUGCUGUGCCCCCUCCCACCACUCCAGGAACAGGGAGCACUCAGCCCUGGAAGGAUCUGUCCCUUGGCCACUUGAACCCUGCCAGCAGAGAGAGGACAACAGCACCAUAAAUCCCUCCGUGAAUGCCGCCAGGCAGCUCCUGAUGUCAAAGGAGGCUCCGAAUAACCCUCGCCAGCUGUCCCAUCCCAGCCAGGAUGUCACAGAAAGGCUGCGACACAGCCACAUCCUGGAGGUGACACCAGCAUGUAGACAACCCUGGGACAGCAGGGACCCCAGCUGUCCCAGCAUAGGUUGGGAGGCUGAUGCCCUUGGUGUCUUCUGGGUUUCACUGAAGGCUCACUUCUCACCUGGUUUAAAUUAGGGUAGCUGCACAGUGGAUCUGACUGGGUACUGCAGGACAACACCAGCUUGUGACAGCUGUGAAUCAGAGACUGUCAAAGUGCCUGGGCAUAGUUUUUCUGUUUUUUUCUUGUUUAUAAAGUAUCACGCAUUUUUUUUCCUUUAAUAUAAGAAAUAAAAUAAUGCUUGUGCUCCGUUUCUCUAAA